GCAGAGAAUUGGCCUUCUUGUUGUGCUCGGUGACGGCGAAGCGGGCGAGGUCGACGAGGUGGAGGUCGUUCUCGUUCCCCACCGGCUCGACGCCGCCAAGCACCGGCCCUCCGUCGCUCGACAUCUUCUCCUCCCCUUCUCCCCCUGCGCGAUGCGCCUCGGCCUGAGCGGACGGCGUGGCUAGCGAAUGCAGCACGAGCAGGGCGGCUACCAAUCCG
rnacentral:misc_RNA from 1 species